rnacentral:rRNA from 1 species
AGAGUUGAUUAUGGCUCAGGAUGAACGCUAGCUACAGGCUUAACACAUGCAAGUCGAGGGGCAGCGGGAGGAAAGCUUGCUUCCUGCCGGCGACCGGCGCACGGGUGCGUAACGCGUAUCGAACCUGGCCCAUACACGGGGAUAGUCUCCUGAAAGGGAGGUUAAUACCCCGGCGGUCCCACUUGGUCGCAUGACUGUGUGGGUGAAGAUUCAUCGGUAUGGGAUGGCGGUGCGUAGGAUUAGCUAGUCGGCGGGGUAACGGCCCACCGAGGCUACGAUCCUUAGGGGUUCUGAGAGGAAGGUCCCCCCACACUGGUACUGAGACACGGACCAGACUCCUACGGGAGGCAGCAGUGAGGAAUAUUGGUCAAUGGCCGAGAGGCUGAACCAGCCAAGUAGCCGUGCAGGACGACGGCCCUCUGGGUUGUAAACUGCUUUUAUAGGGGAAUAAAGUUCGCCACGUGUGGCGUUUUGUAUGUACCCUAUGAAUAAUGACCGGCUAAUUCCGUGCCAGCAGCGGC